rnacentral:rRNA from 1 species
UGGGGAAUAUUGGGCAAUGGGCGGCAAGCCUGACCCAGCAACGCCGCGUGAAGGAAGAAGGCCCUCGGGUUGUAAACUUCUUUUAUCAGGGACGAAUAGAUGACGGUACCUGAUGAAUAAGCCACGGCUAACUACGUGCC